rnacentral:piRNA from 1 species
UGGCUGUUCUCAAUAAUCCAUCCGUGAUGAA